UGUUGCUUCCACGUCUCUGCUUUGCUCUGCUCUGUUCGGGUCGGUCGGUUCGCAAGAAAACAAAGAUUAAAAAAAAAAAAGACAACAGAUACCGUUAUCAAAUUAGAGUUAAUGCUGCGAAAAUUGGCGCGCGAGACAGCAAAAUUUUGAAGAGUGAAAGCAACGAAAAGUGAUUCAAGAGUUUUAAAGAGAAAAAUUUGAUAAUUGAAAUGUAAAUGGCAAUGGAAAAAGUGUGGAAAAUUGUGUGAAGUCAACUAUGAAAUAGUAUAUUAUUUGCAUAUUAAAUGGAUAAGUGCUGUAAAACGGUAAACAAAUAUAAAUACAAAUACAAAUAGAUACGUACGUGAGCGUGUGUGUGUGUGUGUGUGUAUUUCUGAGUAUGCCUGUGUGCGUGUCCGUGUGUGUUAGCCUAGUGCCAACAAACCCUAAUGCCCAAAUACUUUGCUAACUCCAAAGAGAGUUGAGUUCAAAUAGAUUUGCUGUACAAAAUCACAAAUACCAAAAAUAAAAUACAAUUUUAAAGGCAAAUUUACACAGCUCUAGAGUGGACACCAGCUGGUAGCACUAGAGUGGACCUUAACUGGCAGUAUCAAAUGUGCACUCGGAGCCAUCCCCAUACCAACUAUGAGCAGUGGAAAUUUGAAGAAUGCUGCGGGUAAUAUUGUAUAAUCUGCUCAUAACGCACAUUGCGCUGCUGUUGCUACCCAGCAAUGUGGCUGAAAUGUUGGCUCAGCGCAACGGGAGCGAGCACUUGCCAACGCCUCCGAUUCAAAUUCUGUCCACAGCCAAACCAAGCCUGGGAAUGUUCGCCAUUCGGCCGGAAGCCCCAACUAUGCAAACAAUUUCCCUCAAUACAGCAACAGCCAGCAACAACAACAACAACAACAACAAGAACAACAACAACAUCAAUGGCAACAAAAUAUUCUCCAAUGGAGCAGAGCUUGAAUCGGGCCCAGACAAAAGCAGAAAUAAACUAAUCCGAAAUUCGGGCAAACACGAAAUCACGGAGCUGUCCGUGAAUGUGACGCUGUACAUGCAGAAGAUCCUACAGCUGCAAGUGCACUGGCAGGACAACCUGCCCAAUGGCACCACAUACAAUGUGCUGGUCAGUGCCGUCAACAGCACUCGCUGCCCGGAGGCGCCUUGCAGCGAAUACUCCAUAAAGCAGAAGCCCAGCAAGUACAUCUAUCUGCCCCAGAGUCCCAACCCGAAUGUCGACUCGCCCGACUGCAUGUAUAUGUUUGACUGCGAGUACAAUGUGACUGUGGAGACAUCAAAUCUACACGUGCGUCGCUCCAUGCCCGUGCACAUACCACACUGUGUAGCCGGCAAAUGCUACUGCCCGCCGGCUUCCUUGCUACCAAAAGUGCAUGCCACGGCCAACAUGCAGGCCAACGACAGUAUCAACAUCGCUUUCAUCUUACAGGCCAGCGAGCAGCUGCGCCAGGAGCAGAAGGGUCGUCUGCAGGAGGCGCUGCAGUCCUAUAAAAUGCAACUAAAAAUCAAUGAGGAGAGCAAUCCAUCGCUGCCCUGGGGCGGUGGUCUGAAGAAUCUGUUCAAUCGGAUUUACAACCUAAGUGAAUUGCACUUCCGUCCCACUGCGAGGGGCUUCGAUGGCAGCAUGAUGCUCAACCUGGGCACGCAGCUGAAAGAGAAGACUCCCCUCAAUUUGCAGGCCACGCUGAUAGAUCCCGCUGGCUGCGAGGGUAAAUACAGCACAAACAAAUUUCCGGUGCCCGCCAAUCCACUCAAGCUGAACAGCGAUGUCCAUCUGAGUAACCCGCUCAUUCUACUGACCACCUUGUCUAUUGUCGCCUUGUGCGCGGGCCUGUUGACCCUUCUCCUGCUCCGUCGCCGAGCUCGGGCCAGGGAUCAGCUGCACAAGAAUCAGAUAUAUAUGCAGUCGUUCGUAGUGUCUCCCGUCGCAAUGGAGGACAACAUCAACUACGUGGACAAAUACAUUGAGGUAAUCAAGCGAAGGGCAAUUCAUGUCUUCAUCUUCAACUGGCAUCAGCUGCAUACAAUCGCCCGACAGCUGACAAUAACAUUUUAAAUUACAGUGGAAAAGUUGUUAUCAAUUUCGACUCAUUUUUGGUAAAUCUCAAGAGGGGUAUAAAACGAGUGCAGCAAAAGCCCUUAUAAAAGUUAUUUGACUUGUUGAAAGUUUUUGCAACAAGACGUAAAUGAAUGAAUGAAGACGUAAAGCCCCAACUUGGGUCUGUUUGUACUUGAGCGAAAUGAGAUUUCAAUAGACCAGUUUGAAGAGAUUUCACAAUCGCAGGCUUUGGGGCUCGCCGACAUAUUCGAGGUGCCGCACUCGGCCAUACACAUUGGCCGAGUCCUGGGCGAAG
rnacentral:misc_RNA from 1 species